rnacentral:rRNA from 1 species
UACGUAGGGGGCAAGCGUUGUCCGGAUUCAUUGGGCGUAAAGAGCGUGUAGGCGGCCAGGUAGGUCGGUUGUGAAAACUGGAGGCUCAACCUUCAGAGGUCGACCGAAACCAUCUGGCUAGAGUCCGGGAGAGGAGAGUGGAAUUCCUGGUGUAGCGGUGAAAUGUGCAGAUAUCAGGAGGAACACCGGUGGCGAAGGCGGUUCUCUGGGCAUUACCUGACGCUGAGGAGCGAAAGUGUGGGGAGCGAACAGG